rnacentral:rRNA from 1 species
AGAGUUUGAUCCUGGCUCAGGAUGAACGCUAGCGACAGGCUUAACACAUGCAAGUCGAGGGGCAGCAUGAUUUGUAGCAAUACAGAUUGAUGGCGACCGGCGCACGGGUGAGUAACGCGUAUGCAACUUACCUAUCAGAGGGGGAUAGCCCGGCGAAAGUCGGAUUAAUACCCCAUAAAACAGGGGUCCCGCAUGGGAAUAUUUGUUAAAGAUUCAUCGCUGAUAGAUAGGCAUGCGUUCCAUUAGGCAGUUGGCGGGGUAACGGCCCACCAAACCGACGAUGGAUAGGGGUUCUGAGAGGAAGGUCCCCCACAUUGGUACUGAGACACGGACCAAACUCCUACGGGAGGCAGCAGUGAGGAAUAUUGGUCAAUGGGCGUAAGCCUGAACCAGCCAAGUCGCGUGAGGGAUGAAGGUUCUAUGGAUCGUAAACCUCUUUUAUAAGGGAAUAAAGUGCGGGACGUGUCCCGUUUUGUAUGUACCUUAUGAAUAAGGAUCGGCUAACUCCGUGCCAGCAGCCGCGGUAAUACGGAGGAUCCGAGCGUUAUCCGGAUUUAUUGGGUUUAAAGGGAGCGUAGAUGGAUGUUUAAGUCAGUUGUGAAAGUUUGCGGCUCAACCGUAAAAUUGCAGUUGAUACUGGAUAUCUUGAGUGCAGUUGAGGCAGGCGGAAUUCGUGGUGUAGCGGUGAAAUGCUUAGAUAUCACGAAGAACUCCGAUUGCGAAGGCAGCCUGCUAAGCUGCAACUGACAUUGAGGCUCGAAAGUGUGGGUAUCAAACAGGAUUAGAUACCCUGGUAGUCCACACGGUAAACGAUGAAUACUCGCUGUUUGCGAUAUACGGCAAGCGGCCAAGCGAAAGCGUUAAGUAUUCCACCUGGGGAGUACGCCGGCAACGGUGAAACUCAAAGGAAUUGACGGGGGCCCGCACAAGCGGAGGAACAUGUG